UGCACAGACGGUAGAGAUUCCGUCACCACCAAAAGAGUUAAGCACAGGGACACAUUUGAAGUCUCAGAGCCGGGUGUUGGUUCCGGUAGAGAUCGAGGGAAGUUAGUACCGAAGUCUGAGAUGGAAGAUGGCGAGAAAAGCUGUGUGUAUUUCUGAGGUGCCCGUACCGCAAACCGACACAGGUAGGUAGGAAGAAGAUUCUAAGGCCAACGGGAGAAGGGUUGUUAAGGAACUCGGCAAAUUGACCCCGUAACUUCGGGAGAAGGGGUGCUCCAGAGAUGGAGCCGCAGAGAAUCGGCCCAAGCAACUGUUUACCAAAAACACAGGUUUGUGCUAAAUCGAAAGAUGACGUAUACGAGCUGACGCCUGCCCGGUGCUGGAAGGUUAAGAGGAGAUGUGCAAGCAUUGAAUCGAAGCCCCAGUGAACGGCGGCCGUAACUAUAACGGUCCUAAGGUAGCGAAAUUCCUUGUCAGGUAAGUUCUGACCCGCAUGAAAGGCGUAAUGAUUUGGGCACUGUCUCAACAGCCCGCCCGGCGAAAUUGUAGUACCGGUGAAGAUGCCGGUUACCCGCGACAAGACGGAAAGACCCCAUGGAGCUUUACUGUAGCCUAAUAUUGGGUUUCGAUGUUGCAUGCACAGGAUAGAUGGGACUCUGGGAAACCAAGGCUUUGGCUUUGGCGGAGAGGCCGUUGGGAUACCAUCCUUGCGAUAUUGGAAUUCUAACCUGCGGCUCUGAAUCGAGUCGGGGGACAUUGUUAGGUGGGCAGUUUGACUGGGGCGGUCGCCUCCUAAAGAGUAACGGAGGCGUUCAAAGGUUCGCUCAGCUUGAACGGAAAUCAAGCAAAAGAGUGCAAACGCAGAAGCGAGCCUAACUGCGAGACUGACGGGUCGAGCAGUAACGAAAGUUGGAGUUAGUGAUCCGGUGGUAUGUGAGUGGAAAUGCCAUCGCUCAACGGAUAAAAGUUACCCUGGGGAUAACAGGCUGAUCUCCCCCAAGAGUCCACAUCGACGGGGAGGUUUGGCACCUCGAUGUCGGCUCAUCGCAUCCUGGGGCUGUAUUCGGUCCCAAGGGUUUGGCUGUUCGCCAAUUAAAGCGGUACGCGAGCUGGGUUCAGAACGUCGUGAGACAGUUCGGUCCCUAUCUGUCGUGGGCGCAGGAUAUUUGAUGGGAGCUGUCCCUAGUACGAGAGGACCGGGACGGACGUACCUCUGGCGCACCAGUUGUUCCGCCAGGAGCAUAGCUGGGCAACUACGUACGGAUCGGAUAAACGCUGAAAGCAUCUAAGCGUGAAGCCGACCCAAAGAUAAGAUAUCCCAUUGUUUUAAACAAGUAAGACCCCUUGAAGACUACAAGGUCGAUAGGCACGAUGUGUAAGUGGAGCGAUCCAUUCAGCAAGCGUGUACUAAUAGGUCGAGGGCUUGACCA
rnacentral:rRNA from 1 species